AAUGCGAUACUUGGUGUGAAUUGCAGAAUCCCGUGAACCAUCGAGUUUUUGAACGCAAGUUGCGCCCGAGGCCAUUAGGUCGAGGGCACGUCUGCCUGGGUGUCACA
rnacentral:rRNA from 1 species